rfam:Triticum aestivum genome assembly, contig: Triticum_aestivum_CS42_TGACv1_scaffold_624206_7DS
UUUGUACUCCCUCCGUCCCAAAAUUCUUGUCUUAAAUUUGUCUAAAUACGGAUGUAUCUAGUUACAAAUGUAAGACAAGAAUUUUGGGACGGAGGGAAUACUAC